GGAUGAUAACAGUGGCAUCAACAAGUAUCAUCUUUAAGAAAAGGAGAAAAAAGAUAAUUAAAAAGUCAAGCAUGUAUAAGUAAAUUCUACAAGUCUGUUUAAUGUAGAAAUAAUUUCAAUUAGCAAGAAGUACAUAGUUUACAUGUCUGAUCUGCCUCCCCCAAACCUGUGAAUACAAAGUGCAAUAUAUGUUCAAUUAUACAGUGACAAAUUUUUAUUCUUUCAGAGAAAUAGUUCACAUAAACCUUAAAAUGAUAUGUUAUUAGCACAUUCUAUUUAAAAUAAUAAACUGACAUGACAUGUUAGUACAUAGUCAGGAUGUAUCAAUCUUAAGAGAAUUAUUUUAUGGGCAACAAGUUCACAUUGUAAUGAGACAGAAGUAAACUCCUGAUCAACAGUGCCAUGCUAUUUAACACAGAAUAAUACACAAUUUGUCUUUAGACUGUGAAGGAAGUAACUGUUCUUUACCAAUGAGAUACAAUCUCCAAAUCAAUAAACAGUUAAGAUUAAUUUCCCUUUAGAAAAUAAGUUUUCAGGCCGGACACGGUGGCUCACACCUGUAAUCCCAGCACUUUGGGAGGCCGAGGCGGGCGGAUCACUUGAGGUCAGGUGUUUUGAGACCAGCCUGGCCAACAUGGUGAAACCCUCCCUCUACUAAAAAUACAAAAAUUAGCUGGGCGUCGUGGCACACAUCGGUAGUCUCAGCUACUCAGGAGGCUGAGGCAAGGGAAUCGCUUCAACCUGAGAGGCAGAGGGAGGCUCUGUCUCAUAAAAAAAAAAAAAAAGAAAAAAAAAAAAAGAAAAUAAGCUUUCAGCAAGUAUAGAUACAUAUGCAAAUGGGGUCAUUAAAAAACUCAUGAAAUUAUUUAAUAAUAACUUCUGGUAGCCUCAACACAUAUAUAUGUAACACAGACAACUUUAGGAUUAUUUAUUUUACAAAAUUUAUUUCACAAAACAUAUCUGAAAGAUUUAUUCUGAGGAUGAGUUAUUCUUCAGAAGGAAGCUACAUAAAGAAACUAAGACUGGUGGCCAAGAGUUGUGAAAGCACUCAAGGAAAAAAUUCUGAAAUCCUAGUCAAAAUAUUUUACAGACUGAUAUGGUUUGGAUAUCUGCCCCUUCAAAUCUCAUGUUGAAAUGAGUGAUCCCCCAUGUUGGAGAGGGGCCUAAUGGGGAGGUGUUCGGGUCAUGGGGGCAGAUCCCUCAGGAAUGGUUUGGUGCCCUCCUUGCAGUCAUUAGUUCACAUGAGAUCUGGCUGUUAAAGGGGCUGGGACCUCCUUCCUGUCUCUUGCUCCCUUCUAUUGCCAUGUGACUUGCCUGCUCUCCCUUCACCCUUCCACCAUGAGUAAAAGCUUCCUGAGGCCUCACCAGAAGCAAAUGCCAGCACUAUGCUUCUCUACAGUCUUCCAAACUGUGAGCCAAAUAAACUUCUCUUCUCAUAAAUUAGUCUCAGGUACUUCUUCAGAGCAACACAAAACAGAUUAAUACACUAUCUCAUGUUAGAAUUGAUAUACUGCUAAUUAAAAACCAGUAAAAUCUGACUUCUAAGCUGGGCAAACUCAUAGAGUAUUCCAUGAUCCAGUAAUUUCAAGGGGGAAACAGACUGGAGUUUAAAAAUAAAUCAUCCCUAAUUCAUUAGACGCCUUAAAAUAAAUAAGAAUAGUAUCUUUAAGAAAACAAGUAGUUUAUAUCCUCUAAAGUUCACUCACAAUUUUCUUGGCAAUGCAAAGUGGCUCACGCCUGUAAUUCCAGCAUUUGGGGAGGCUGAGGUGGAUGGACUGCUUGGGCCCAGGAGUUCAAGACCAGCCUAGGCAAUACGGCAAAAUGUUGCCUCUACAAAAAAUACAAAAAUUAGCCUGGCAUGGUAGUGCAUGCCUGUAGUCCCAGCUACUUGGGAGGCUGAGGCUGAGGUGGGAGGAUCGCUUGAGUCUCAGAGGUUGAGGCUGCAGUGAGCCGUGAUCCCUAGCCAACACCAUCUCCAAAAAAAAAAAAAAAAAAAAAAAGGGGGAUGUUCUUUAAAUUAUUGUGGUACUUGAAACAGACAGAGAAGAUAUACUUGUUAUGGAUAUAAAACAAACUUAGGAAUAUUAAUAAGUUCCUUAAAACAUCGCUUCUGCAAUAGAGUAACAAUAGGGUUGGUCGCUGAAACUAACACUAAAACUAAUCAUACUCAAAUCUCUAAGCUAAAAGAUGGCACUAAAAUUCUACCUAAUAUGUCAAACUACUGGGGAUAAAUUUUAAGGUGAUACAAGAUAACAAUAUAUACAAUAAGAAAAGUGACAGAUAAAAUUCAAUUUGAACAUAAUGUUAUCCAGUUAACUACCAAUAAACUUGUAUCUCCAAAGACAUACCAUCUUUGACAGGUGGUAGCACAAAUGCAUCUUUAUUUACUAACUUGUUCAUUGCAGAAGGUUUUUAGUAUAGUAGGUUUUCUGUAGAACGUGCUACCAAAAUGAUUAGGAAAUCUUUGUGAAGCUACUUUCCAGAUCCCAAUCCCUGUUUCUGACUGAUAUGAUACUACCCACCUUUGAAUACCCUCGUUUUGAAGAAACAAAUGAUCUGUAACAGCUAGAUCAACAGGGACUUGCGGGACUACGAAUCCAUGAUGGCUAUAUGUAAUCAAGAGUUUAUAAGCAAACUUUAAGUAUAGAUACAACUAUGAGCCAAAGCCAUCGCCAUCCUUUUUCUAAAUAGGAUGGCCAUAACUAAGAAGCAAAAAACUUAUCCGUUACUAGAAAGAACAUAGUUUGCUAGCCAGAUGAAAGUAUUAUUGGAUACCAGGACAAACUCACCCCCCAACCAAAAAUAAAUAAAUAAAAAAUAAAAAAAAUCAGAGUAACCCAUUUUGGGUCAAGACAAAUACAGGCUGACAAAAGGUGGUAAAAGAAUGGUAUAUUUAAUCUCUUGGUUAAAGCAUUUGUAACAAGAUAAUGGCCUGAAGAAAAAUCUAAUUAUUAACCAUUUAUAUUUUUCCUGGAAAUUCAGAAGCCUCUACUAAAAUUACACUUUCAAAUAUAACAUACAAGCUGCCAGUUUCAAAGAGGUGACACCUACCAUGGCUAACUUCACUGGGCUUCUGAGAAAUGUAAAUGAGAAAGAACUAUAUUAGAAGAAGGUCAUUUAGUUUUCUCCUGAGAAUAAAAACUAUCAUAUAGUUUUCCAACUAUCAUGGAAACCCAUCUCCUUGGAUAUCCCCAGGGACAGAAGACUAGAAAAAAAAGGAACACAGUAAUACAGGUCAGUGGAUAUGAAGUGGAUGCUACCUCCAAGAAAGAGAAAAUAUUUAGUUUUGUCUCUCAACAAUUUAGGGAAUUAAAAUUUUCCUUUAACGAACCAAUUCAAGAGAUAUUUCAAAGUAGGCAGACAAAGACUUGUUAAUCAGCAGGAAACAGAAGGCACAAACAAACUGAGUAAAAGUUUGGACUCAGGAAUUUAGUAAAUGGUUUUAUAACUCCAAAAGCUGGUACAAAUAAAAAAGUUCACAACACAGGUAAAUCUAUGGACAGCAACUAUACAGCAGGAAGAAAAGGAGUUUGAUACUACUAGUCUGAGACAAUUUUAUGCUUCUGCCCUCUUGUAGUCUUUAUACUUCUAUAGAAAUGUUCCAGCUGAACAGAAUCAGAAUGCAGUCCAUGGUUUUUAAAAACCGAUAUUCCUCUACACCUUCCCCAAAUUACAGACUCAUUUUGUUGGAUAUGCCAUCUAAACAUUGUGCCAAUUCAUUUCCUAUGAGCUUAGGUCUCUGAAACCAAUCUUCAACAAACAGGAGCCUUAAGUUACACGGGGUGAGCAUCCCUAAAUCCAAAAUCUGAAACUUUUUAAGUAUCAACAUGACACCACAAGUGGAAAAUUCCAGACUUGACCUCAUGAUGUUAAACAGUUAAAACUCUGUUUCAUGCAAAAAAUUAUUUAAAAUGCUGUAUAGGUCCAGUGUGGUGGCUCAUGCCUGCAAUCCCAGCACUUUGGGAGGCUGAGGCGGGCAGAUUGCUUGAGUCCAGGAAUUUGAGACCAAUCUGGGCAACAUAGUGAAAUCCCAUCUAUACCCCCCAACAAAAUAUACAAAAAUUAGCUAGGCAUGGUGGUACGUUGUCUGUAGUCCCAGUUACUCGGGACACUGAGGUGGGAGGAUCACCUGAGCCCGGGAAGUUGAGGCUGCAAUGAGCCAUGAUCAUACCACUGCACUCCAGCCUAAGUGACAGAGUGAGAUUCUGUCUCAAAAAAUAAAUGAAGUUUUGUAUAAAAUUACCCUCAGAAUAUGUGUUUAAGGUAUAUGUGAAACAUACAUAAAUUUCAUGUUUAGACUUGGCUCCCAUCCCCAAGAUAGCUCAUUAUGUAUAUGCAAAUAUUCGAGAAAAACAAAUUGAAACCCAAAACACUUCUGGUCCCAACCAUUUCGAAUAAGGGAUAUUCAACCUACAGUUUAUAACCAACCAUUCAAUUUUCUAACACUUUAAGGAGAAUGGUUCCAGCCAGCCACAGAUCUGUCCUCCCCGCUGUGGAAAGCAAAUCAUUUAUGAAACUAAGUUGUAUAUGCCUGAUACUGACCUCAGAAAACAAAUGGACCAUACAACUAAUGGACUUUAGUUGGCUACUUCACUGAAAUUAUUUUUAUGGUCUCACAAAGAGACACAUUCAAAAGAUACUUUCUAUCUUUCCCAAGAACAAUUAUCAUGUCUGUUUUAUGAUAUAGAACUCUGAGGCCUCAAUCAUUCAUUUAUUGGUGCAUAGAACUGUAUGCAGAUCUGUUUUCUAAGGAAGAUUCUAGCACUGAAUCAUAAGAAAAUUCCUUAGCCCAUCUAUAUGCUGAGGUGAGUUGUCUAUUUUGCAUACCUAUUUUGGUUAGGCUUGUUUUUUUUUUAACCCUAUUCUCCCUGCUCAAUGGAUUAUUCAAAGCAUAAGAAUCCCCUCCCACUCCCGCACUGCCUUAACUGGCAAUGAAUAAAUUUGCAUUUCAAAGCAGGUAUGACUUCAAUUUCUUAGUGAAUAGAAACUAUAAAGGAAUUCUGGAAAACACAUUGAUAGUCAACUACAAGUAAGUAAUAAAGAAAUGUGCAGUCACUAUCAAUACAACUUUUUAUUUAAUAUAUCCAAAGACCUCUAAACACUAAUGAGGUGACUUUUUACAUGGUAAUAAAUCACUGUGUGGUAAAUAAGAACCUCAAAAGAAAUAAAUACAAGCUAUGAUGCAAGCAAAGACAAUAACAGUGGGGUAAACAGUGACUGGCCUAAUUCUUAAGGGAUUCUAACUAAUAAUGUAGAAAACCACAAAUUUAAGCUGAGAGAGGUCUCUUCCAAGAACUUUACAAGACCAGUGCUCUAACCCCUGAGCUAUGGAGCCCUUGUGUCUUCUUCCAAGAACUUUAACACUGGUAUUUGGCAGCUCAGCUUUAGCAUGUCAGCAGAGUCCUCCUCUUAUAAAACCAGGAAAUGAAGCAAAUUUCAGAUUUGUUGUUUUUCAUUAACUGUGCCUCCAUCCUGCAUCCAGCAUCCAGGAAGUAUAUAUACAAUCACUAAUCUAAACCAAACCUCUCUUGCCUCUUUGCUUAGAUCUGACAAACACUGACUCACCUUGACCCAAGUAUGUCAGGAAGCACCACACAGGAGGACUGUGGAGCUUGAGACCUGAGGCACACAAUUCCACUUAGUUUCUAGAAACUGAAAUGCUAAGUGUUUCAGUGAGUUUAUCCAAUUCUUAGUAAGCUUUUGUUCAGUUUCUGAUCUUUCUGCCUAGCCUUGAAAGUCACAUAAGGAAACUGGCCUGUUCUGUAAGCCUUUGAAAAUUAGAUGAUGCUAAGAAACAUCAAGAGUCCAUAUGUCUUGGUAACUAGGUGUUAUACUGGAACAAAGCAGUAUAACACCUAGAGCUAAGCAGGAAAAGAUACUGACUUGUGGAAAGUUCUAAUAAGAAAAUUAAUGUGUUAUACUUUUUACAAGCGUAUGAUUAUCUUUGUAAGAUUACCCAAAUUUACCUAUAAUGCCAGGACAAGCUAUUAUUCACAUUGCCUGUGACUGCUAUUCUGAUAUAUAUAAAGGAGAAGACAGUAUGUGCUACACAGCUGAAAUGCAUUAGCUUUUUAAAAGUGAAGGAAAAAAAAGUGAAGAAAAAGUUCAAAGAAGAUUCUCUGCAGCCAUCCUAGUUGGAUGACAGAACAGCUGCUUUACCAUCUCAAUGUGUAACAAAUAUUUCCAUUCCUUGAUUGCUAUGAAACUCACUUUCAAAACAAAGUUGUCCCUUAAAAGGAGAAUGGUGGAGGGGAAUGAUUCAAACAUUCAGCAUUCAAGCAAGAGGAGAAAAUAUAUUAAGAGAUAAGAAUGGUCAUCGCAAGUCAAUGAACCAAGGAUAUUUUAAACAAAAUUAUCUGUAAAUGAAAAAAAAAAAUUUAUGUACCCAGGACUGGGGACUGGAGUAGAACAGUCAUAAUUCAGGUGAGUAAGAAUCCAGUGCCUUUUAAAAAUAGCUCAUUUGCAUUGGGGGAGCGGGGAGAGGUGAAAGAGGAAAGGAUAACUUUAAUCUGUUUAUUGGAAAAACUAAUUACUGUAUGAACUUCAGACUAUUUUAUAUUAUGUGAAAGGUUAAUUUGGUUUGAAAGCCUAUUUUUUUGGUACUUCUCGGCUUACUUGGAGAUUACGUGUCUCCAAACUACUAAAAAGAACUUUCUACUUCAGUCAGCAAAGUAUGGAUUUCUCAGUAACAUAAAAACUGUUAACUCUAAGAAAAAUAACUUCUAUUGGCUGGGCGCAGUGGCUCACACCUGUAAUCCCAGCACUUUGGGAGGCCGAGGGGGCAGAUCACCUGAGGUUGGGAGUUCAAGACCAGCCUGACCAACAUGGAGAAACCUCAUCUCUAUUAAAAAUACAAAAUUAGCCGGGCGUGGUGGCACAUGCCUGUAACCCCAGCUACUCGGGAGCUGAGGCAGGAGAAUCUCUUGAACCCAGAAGGCAGAGGUGCGGUGAGCCAAGAUGGCGCCACUGCACUCCAGCCUGGGCAACAAGAACAAAACUCCGUCAAAAAAAAGAAAAAGAAAAAGAAUAAGAACUUAUAUUUCUAUUAUAAAUUCUAAUUUAAAGAAUUAAUCCUUAUAUUUCUGGUUUUAUCUUUCCCCAUUUCUUAUUCAAAAGCAGGUAAGAAGAAACUCUGAAGUAUUCUUAGAUGAAAGACUUCUCAUAAAUCCUUUCAACCAUAUAACCCAGCAUUAGAGGGGCUAGAAAACCGAUUAUCUUUUUGAACUUUCUCCACUAGGGAGUAGUAAAUAAGGAAAAAAUAGGAAUACCCUCUAAUAAUGGCAUGAGAAAGUAGGAGAGAGGGUUGUACUUUAAAAAAUGUGUACUUUUAAAAAAACUCAUCUUCUAAAACACAAUGUCCCCUGAAGUUGCAUGAAAAACCUCAAGGUGGUUUAAAAACACUUGUAAAAAAGAAGAAUCUUUCAAUUACUAGUGAGAUUGAAUCUAUCUGAACCAGAAUUACUAGAGUCUUAAAAACACUGACACUUAAAAAUAACUAUGUUUGUCAAUAUUCCUAAUUGGCUAAUCUUAAUUUUUGAUGCAUGUGGGAACUCACUAUAGUAAGAUAAAGGAGUUUCUGACACUCAAGGAUUUUUUUUGUUUGUUUUUUAAGGCUUUUUUGUAAAGGCAUGAAGAAGCGGCUUAGUGUUUGGUCCUAAAAGGCAAAAGAAUGUAAGAAAGAAUUAGGCCUGUUAAUUAAUGAGUCUAUUUGGAAACCUUGUCAAAUAAUCUCAGAAACAAUAGUUCUCAGAAGACUAGCUACAUCAGAAUUAUCUGAGGGUAUCUUAAUGUAAACAAAACCAGCAUUCAAGUUUAUUAGGUUCCUCAAAGGAGGGAGUACUUAACAAGGCUUUGGUGAAAGAGCUCCUAAGAAGAGAGGAGUUGUGUGUGUAGUAGAAUUAAUUUGAGGCAAAUAGCACAUGUAGAGGUAACAGAUGGCAGACUAAGAAACUGAGUAUAUAAUAAUAAAGUACUACACUGAAUAUUUCAUAAAUAAAACUUUUCUUGUGUUAAGGAUGUUUUUUAGGACAGAUUCUCUGAAGUUUAAUAACUAAGACAAAUGUUUGCUCUUGAAUUUUAAGCUUGCUAAAUACUGCUAAACUGCUUCCUUAAAGGAUUACACUAACUUGCUACAUACCGCCAGCAAGUAUGAAAACAAUUUUAUUCUACCCUUUACUCUCCCCUUCAGUAUUGCAUUUGUUUUAUAAAACUCUGCAGAUUCAGAAACUGUUUCAAAAUCUUAAACUGGUAAUUAUUUUACUGAGCUGCACUUUUUUGCCUAUUUUGUUUUUUAUCCUUAAGUAACUUUCAUAAACGGUUUAUUUUUAAUAAGCUAUAAACAUUUCAAAAUUUUUUCAAACUUUAUAACGAUAGUGCUUUAAAGUUAAAGAAGCUGUACAUUUUCAUAUAAUUGAAUGUUUAAUUUCUUUGUGAUUCCUUUUAAAUUCAGAAAUUCUUCCUUUCUCCAGAGAGCUGAUACCCAACAUUGAAAAAAAACAUUUUUUUGGUUAUAUUUUAAAAAUAGGCCAGGCGCAGUGGCUCACGCCUGUAAUCCCAGCACUUUGGGAGGCUGAGGCAGGCGAUCACCCUGAGGUCAGGAGUUCGAGACCAGCCUGGCCAACAUGGCAAAACCCGUCUCUACUAAAAAUACAAAAAUUGGCCGGGUGUGGAGGCUCAU
rnacentral:lncRNA from 1 species